UUUCCGUAGGUGAACCUGCGGAAGGAUCAUUAUCGAAACAGAACGCCCGGGGGGAAGGGGGAGCACGGACUGUCGCGCGUCCUCGCGCACGUCGCUCUUUCGACCCUUCGAGGCUUCGACCUUCUCAACACCCGUGUGCACCCACUGUAGGUCCUUCGGGAUCUACGUCUCCUUUCCAACUCGCAUGUCUACAGAACGUGUUCGUCGUGUCCCGGCCUCGACCCCCAGGGUCCCGCGUCGGCGACCGCAAAAACCUACAAUACAACUUUCAGCAACGGAUCUCUUGGCUCUC
rnacentral:misc_RNA from 1 species